AAGUUUUCGGAUGGAAGCUUGUAAACUUAGUGGCGGACGGGUGAGUAACACGUGAGCAACCUGCCUAUCAGAGGGGGAUAACGAUUGGAAACGAUCGCUAAUACCGCAUGACAUAGCGGAAUCGCAUGGUUCUGUUAUCAAAGAUUUUAUCGCUGAUAGAUGGGCUCGCGUCCGAUUAGAUAGUUGGUGGGGUAACGGCCUACCAAGUCGACGAUCGGUAGCCGGACUGAGAGGUCGAACGGCCACAUUGGGACUGAGACACGGCCCAGACUCCUACGGGAGGCAGCAGUGGGGGAUAUUGCACAAUGGGGGAAACCCUGAUGCAGCGACGCCGCGUGAGGGAAGACGGUCCUCUGGAUUGUAAACCUCUGUCUUCGGGGACGAAACGAGACGGUACCCGAGGAGGAAGCCACGGCUAACUACGUGCCAGCAGCCGCGGUAAUACGUAGGUGGCAAGCGUUGUCCGGAAUUACUGGGUGUAAAGGGAGCGUAG
rnacentral:rRNA from 1 species